rnacentral:rRNA from 1 species
GACAGGUGGUGCAUGGUUGUCGUCAGCUCGUGUCGUGAGAUGUUGGGUUAAGUCCCGCAACGAGCGCAACCCUUGAUCUUAGUUGCCAGCAUUCAGUUGGGCACUCUAAGGUGACUGCCGGUGACAAACCGGAGGAAGGUGGGGAUGACGUCAAAUCAUCAUGCCCCUUAUGACCUGGGCUACACACGUGCUACAAUGGACAGAACAAAGGGCUGCGAGACCGCAAGGUUUAGCCAAUCCCACAAAUCUGUUCUCAGUUCGGAUCGCAGUCUGCAACUCGACUGCGUGAAGCUGGAAUCGCUAGUAAUCGCGGAUCAGCAUGCCGCGGUGAAUACGUUCCCGGGUCUUGUACACACCGA